rnacentral:rRNA from 1 species
AGAGUUUGAUCCUGGCUCAGGAUGAACGCUGGCGGCGUGCCUAAUACAUGCAAGUCGAGCGAACGGACGAGAAGCUUGCUUCUCUGAUGUUAGCGGCGGACGGGUGAGUAACACGUGGAUAACCUACCUAUAAGACUGGGAUAACUUCGGGAAACCGGAGCUAAUACCGGAUAAUAUUUUGAACCGCAUGGUUCAAAAGUGAAAGACGGUCUUGCUGUCACUUAUAGAUGGAUCCGCGCUGCAUUAGCUAGUUGGUAAGGUAACGGCUUACCAAGGCAACGAUGCAUAGCCGACCUGAGAGGGUGAUCGGCCACACUGGAACUGAGACACGGUCCAGACUCCUACGGGAGGCAGCAGUAGGGAAUCUUCCGCAAUGGGCGAAAGCCUGACGGAGCAACGCCGCGUGAGUGAUGAAGGUCUUCGGAUCGUAAAACUCUGUUAUUAGGGAAGAACAUAUGUGUAAGUAACUGUGCACAUCUUGACGGUACCUAAUCAGAAAGCCACGGCUAACUACGUGCCAGCAGCCGCGGUAAUACGUAGGUGGCAAGCGUUAUCCGGAAUUAUUGGGCGUAAAGCGCGCGUAGGCGGUUUUUUAAGUCUGAUGUGAAAGCCCACGGCUCAACCGUGGAGGGUCAUUGGAAACUGGAAAACUUGAGUGCAGAAGAGGAAAGUGGAAUUCCAUGUGUAGCGGUGAAAUGCGCAGAGAUAUGGAGGAACACCAGUGGCGAAGGCGACUUUCUGGUCUGUAACUGACGCUGAUGUGCGAAAGCGUGGGGAUCAAACAGGAUUAGAUACCCUGGUAGUCCACGCCGUAAACGAUGAGUGCUAAGUGUUAGGGGGUUUCCGCCCCUUAGUGCUGCAGCUAACGCAUUAAGCACUCCGCCUGGGGAGUACGACCGCAAGGUUGAAACUCAAAGGAAUUGACGGGGACCCGCACAAGCGGUGGAGCAUGUGGUUUAAUUCGAAGCAACGCGAAGAACCUUACCAAAUCUUGACAUCCUUUGACAACUCUAGAGAUAGAGCCUUCCCCUUCGGGGGACAAAGUGACAGGUGGUGCAUGGUUGUCGUCAGCUCGUGUCGUGAGAUGUUGGGUUAAGUCCCGCAACGAGCGCAACCCUUAAGCUUAGUUGCCAUCAUUAAGUUGGGCACUCUAAGUUGACUGCCGGUGACAAACCGGAGGAAGGUGGGGAUGACGUCAAAUCAUCAUGCCCCUUAUGAUUUGGGCUACACACGUGCUACAAUGGACAAUACAAAGGGCAGCGAAACCGCGAGGUCAAGCAAAUCCCAUAAAGUUGUUCUCAGUUCGGAUUGUAGUCUGCAACUCGACUACAUGAAGCUGGAAUCGCUAGUAAUCGUAGAUCAGCAUGCUACGGUGAAUACGUUCCCGGGUCUUGUACACACCGCCCGUCACACCACGAGAGUUUGUAACACCCGAAGCCGGUGGAGUAACCUUUUAGGAGUUAGCCGUCGAAGGUGGGACAAAUGAUUGGGGUGAAGUCGUAACAAGGUAGCCGUAUCGGAAGGUGCGGCUGGAUCACCU